rnacentral:snRNA from 1 species
GUACUCGCCUCGGCAAUACAUUCACUAAAAUUGAAACGAUACAGAGAAGAUUAACAUGGCCCCUGCACAAAGAUGACACGCAAAAUCGUGAAGCGUUUCAUUAACUC